UAACGAUUGGAAACGAUCGCUAAUACCGCAUGACAUAGCGGAACCGCAUGGUUUUGCUAUCAAAGAUUUUAUCGCUGAUAGAUGGGCUCGCGUCCGAUUAGAUAGUUGGUGGGGUAACGGCCUACCAAGUCGACGAUCGGUAGCCGGACUGAGAGGUCGAACGGCCACAUUGGGACUGAGACACGGCCCAGACUCCUACGGGAGGCAGCAGUGGGGGAUAUUGCACAAUGGGGGAAACCCUGAUGCAGCGACGCCGCGUGAGGGAAGACGGUCCUCUGGAUUGUAAACCUCUGUCUUCGGGGACGAAACGAGACGGUACCCGAGGAGGAAGCCACGGCUAACUACGUGCCAGCAGCCGCGGUAAUACGUAGGUGGCAAGCGUUGUCCGGAAUUACUGGGUGUAAAGGGAGCGUAGGCGGGCAGGCAAGUCAGGCGUGAAAUAUAUCGGCUCAACCGGUAACGGCGCUUGAAACUGCAGGUCUUGAGUGAAGUAGAGGUUGGCGGAAUUCCUAGUGUAGCGGUGAAAUGCGUAGAUAUUAGGAGGAACACCAGUGGCGAAGGCGGCCAACUGGGCUUUUACUGACGCUGAGGCUCGAAAGUGUGGGGAGCAAACAGGAUUAGAUACCCUGGUAGUCCACACCGU
rnacentral:rRNA from 1 species